GACGAACGCUGGCGGCGCGCCUAACACAUGCAAGUCGAACGGAGUCACGAUGAGCUUGCUUUUCUUGACUUAGUGGCUAACGGGUGAGUAACGCGUGAGUAACCUUCCCUGUAUUGGGGGACAACAGUUUGAAACGACUGCUAAUACCGCAUAAGCCCACGGAUCCGCAUGGGUCUGCGGGAAAAGGAUUUAUUCGCUUCAGGUUGGACUCUAGUCCAAUUGGCUAGUUGGUGAGGUAACGGCCCACCAAGGCGACGAUUGGUAGCCGGACUGAGAGGUUGAACGGACACACUGGGACUGAGCCACGGUCCAGAAUACUACGCGAGGGAGCAGUGGGGGAUAUUGCAAAAUGGGGGAAACCCUGAUGCCGCGACGCCGCGUGGAGGAAGAAGGUUUUAGGAUAGUAAACUCCUGUAGUUAGGGACGAUACUGACGGUACCUAAAAAGAAAGCACCGGCUAACUACGUG
rnacentral:rRNA from 1 species